UACGUAGGUGGCGAGCGUUGUCCGGAUUUACUGGGCGUAAAGGGCGUGCAGGCGGUCUGUUAAGUCUAGGGUGAAAGCUCCCGGCUCAACUGGGAGAGGUCCUUGGAUACUGGCGGACUUGAGGGAGGCAGAGGAGAAUGGAAUUCCCGGUAUAGUGGUGAUAUGCGUAGAUAUCGGGAGGAACACCAGUGGCGAAGGCGGUUCUCUGGGCCUUACCUGACGCUGAGACGCGAAAGCGUGGGGAGCGAACCGG
rnacentral:rRNA from 1 species